rnacentral:rRNA from 1 species
UACGUAGGGGGCUAGCGUUGUCCGGAAUCAUUGGGCGUAAAGCGCGCGUAGGCGGCCCGGCAAGUCCGCUGUGAAAGUCAAAGGCUCAACCUUUGAAUGUCAGCGGAUACUGCCGGGCUAGAGUCCGGAAGAGGCGAGUGGAACUCCUGGUGUAGCGGUGGAAUGCGCAGAUAUCAGGAAGAACACCAACGGCGAAGGCAGCUCGCUGGGACGGAACUGACGCUAAGGCGCGAAAGCGUGGGGAGCGAACAGG